GGGGCUAAAACUUACUACCGAAGCUACGGCAUCAUUAUGAUGGGUAGGGGAGCUUCCCAUACGGGUUGAAGCAUGACCGUAAGGACAUGUGGACAGUAUGGGAGUGAGAAUGUUGGCAUGGGUAGCGGGAUGUGGGUGAGAAUCCCACAGGCCGUAAACCCAAGGUUUCCAGGGGAAGGUUCGUCCGCCCUGGGUUAGUCGGGACCUAAGCUGAGGCCGAAAGGCGUAGGUGAUGGACAACAGGUUGA
rnacentral:rRNA from 1 species